rnacentral:rRNA from 1 species
UACGUAGGGGGCAAGCGUUGUCCGGAAUCAUUGGGCGUAAAGAGCGUGUAGGCGGCCAGAAAAGUCCGCUGUGAAAACUCGAGGCUCAACUUCGAGCUGUCGGUGGAAACUUUCUGGCUAGAGUCCGGAAGAGGAGAAUGGAAUUCCUGGUGUAGCGGUGAAAUGCGCAGAUAUCAGGAGGAACACCUAUUGCGAAGGCAGCUCGCUGGGACGUUACUGACGCUGAGACGCGAAAGCGUGGGGAGCAAACAGG